rnacentral:rRNA from 1 species
AUUGAACGCUGGCGGCAGGCCUAACACAUGCAAGUCGAACGAGUGGCGGACGGGUGAGUAAUGUCUGGGAAACUGCCCGAUGGAGGGGGAUAACUACUGGAAACGGUAGCUAAUACAGCAUACCAUCGGCUGUGCCCAGAUUGGAGUAGCUUGUGGGUGAGGUAACGGCUCACCUAGGCGACGCUCCCUAGCUGGUGGGAGAGGAUGACCAGAGAUAGUGGAACUGAUGAAUGGUGGACACGGCGACGGGAGGCAGAAGUGGGGAAUAUGGCACAAUGGUCGCAAGUCUGAGACAGUCAUGCCGCGUGUAUGAAGAAGGUGUUCGGGUUGGAAAGUAAUUUCAGCGGGGAGUCGUUACCCGCAGAAGAAGCACCUGCUAACUCCGUGCCAGCAGCAGCGGUAAUAC